UACGGAGGGGGCUAGCGUUGUUCGGAAUUACUGGGCGUAAAGCGCACGUAGGCUGCUUUGUAAGUCAGAGGUGAAAGCCCGGGGCUCAACCCCGGAUGUGCCUUUGAGACUGCAGAGCUAGAACGUCGGAGAGGUGAGUGGAAUUCCGAGUGUAGAGGUGAAAUUCGUAGAUAUUCGGAAGAACACCAGUGGCGAAGGCGGCUCACUGGACGACUGUUGACGCUGAGGUGCGAAAGCGUGGGGAGCAAACAGG
rnacentral:rRNA from 1 species